AUCGACGACAUCAGCCUGCUGAUGAGCUCCCACACGAAUUGCUUGAUUCUUUGUAAAAGACGAUCAAGGCCUUCUGCAGGCCUCGCGUUGUUCCUGAUCAGAACUUGGAAAUGGGCAUUCGCUUCGAAUGUUGAUUUCUGACUUUUGUCAGAUCGUUCUUUAAAAAUUCGGAUAUGUGAUAGAAAUAGACUGAACACCAGUUUCACUGCUGGUGGAUCAGGCUAAGGUAAAAUUUGUGAGUUCUGCUCGAAAGAGCAACGUGCGAAUUUUCGGCGAAUGUCGUCUUCACAGUAUAACCAGAUUGCUUGGGGUUAUAU
rnacentral:misc_RNA from 1 species